ACUUUUGGAUCGGUACCUAAUCCAGAAAGGUCCAUCAACUAACUUACGUUGCCCAGCCAGCCCGCGGGUAAAUAACGUAAGGUGGGCAGCGUUGUCUGGAAUUAUUGGGCGUAAAGCGCGCGCAGGCGGUUUCUUUAAGUCUGAUGUGAAAGCCCCCGGCUCAACCGGGGAGGGUCAUUGGAAACUGGGGAACUUGAGUGCAGAAGAGGAGAGUGGAAUUCCACGUGUAGCGGUGAAAUGCGUAGAGAUGUGGAGGAACACCAGUGGCGAAGGCGACUCUCUGGUCUGUAACUGACGCUGAGGCGCGAAAGCGUGGGGAGCGAACAGGAUUAGAUACCCUGGUAGUCCACGCCGUAAACGAUGAGUGCUAAGUGUUAGAGGGUUUCCGCCCUUUAGUGCUGCAGCAAACGCAUUAAGCACUCCGCCUGGGGAGUACGGUCGCAAGACUGAAACUCAAAGGAAUUGACGGGGGCCCGCACAAGCGGUGGAGCAUGUGGUUUAAUUCGAAGCAACGCGAAGAACCUUACCAGGUCUUGACAUCCUCUGACAACCCUAGAGAUAGGGCUUCCCCUUCGGGGGCAGAGUGACAGGUGGUGCAUGGUUGUCGUCAGCUCGUGUCGUGAGAUGUUGGGUUAAGUCCCGCAACGAGCGCAACCCUUGAUCUUAGUUGCCAGCAUUCAGUUGGGCACUCUAAGGUGACUGCCGGUGACAAACCGGAGGAAGGUGGGGAUGACGUCAAAUCAUCAUGCCCCUUAUGACCUGGGCUACACACGUGCUACAAUGGGCAGAACAAAGGGCAGCGAAGCCGCGAGGCUAAGCCAAUCCCACAAAUCUGUUCUCAGUUCGGAUCGCAGUCUGCAACUCGACUGCGUGAAGCUGGAAUCGCUAGUAAACGCGAACAAGGAUGUCCGCCAUUGCC
rnacentral:rRNA from 1 species